rnacentral:rRNA from 1 species
UACGAAGGGAGCUAGCGUUGUUCGGAAUUACUGGGCGUAAAGGGCGCGUAGGCGGCUUGGCAAGUUGGGUGUGAAAGCCCAGGGCUCAACCCUGGAAUUGCAUUCAAGACUGCCUUGCUUGAAUUCGGUAGAGGUUGGUGGAAUUCCCAGUGUAGAGGUGAAAUGCGUAGAGAUUUGGAAGAACACCCGUGGCGAAGGCGGUCAACUGGACCGACAUUGACGCUGAGGCGCGAUAGCGUGGGGAUCAAACAGU